GUGUCAGCCGCCGCGGUAAGACGUAGGAUGCAAGCGUUGUCCGGAAUUAUUGGGCGUAAAGAGUUCGUAGGCGGUUACCUAAGUCUGGUGUUAAAUACUGGAGCUCAACUCCGGCAUGGCAUUGGAAACUGGGUGGCUAGAGUGCGGUAGAGGUCACAGGAAUUCCAGGUGUAGCGGUGAAAUGCGUAGAUAUCUGGAGGAACACCAGUGGCGAAAGCGUGUGACUGGGCCGCAACUGACGCUGAGGAACGAAAGCCAGGGUAGCGAAAGGGAUUAGAAACCCCUGUAGUCC
rnacentral:rRNA from 1 species